AUCCUGGCUCAGGAUGAACGCUAGCGGCAGGCUUAAUACAUGCAAGUCGUGGGGCAGCAUGAGUAGCAAUACUUGAUGGCGAACCGGCAAACGGGUGAGGAACACGUACACAACCUUCCUUCAAGCGGGGAAUAGCCCAGAGAAAUUUGGAUUAAUACCCCAUAAUAUAUUUGAUAAGGCAUCUUAUUAAUAUUAAAGCUUCGGCACUUGAUGAUGGGUGUGCGGCUGAUUAGAUAGUUGGCGGGGUAACGGCCCACCAAGUCUACGAUCAGUAGCUGAUGUGAGAGCGUGAUCAGCCACACGGGCACUGAGACACGGGCCCGACUCCUACGGGAGGCAGCAGUAAGGAAUAUUGGACAAUGGACGAAAGUCUGAUCCAGCCAUGCCGCGUGAAGGAUUAAGGUCCUCUGGAUUGUAAACUUCUUUUAUAUGGGACGAAAAAAGGGCAUUCUUGUUCACUUGACGGUACCAUAUGAAUAAGCACCGGCUAACUCCGUG
rnacentral:rRNA from 1 species